UGGGGAAUAUUGGACAAUGGGGGCAACCCUGAUCCAGCAAUGCCGCGUGUGUGAAGAAGGUCUUCGGAUUGUAAAGCACUUUCGACGGGGACGAUGAUGACGGUACCCGUAGAAGAAGCCCCGGCUAACUUCGUGCCAGCAGCCGCGGUAAUACGAAGGGGGCUAGCGUUGCUCGGAAUGACUGGGCGUAAAGGGCGUGUAGGCGGUUUACACAGUCAGAUGUGAAAUCCCCGGGCUUAACCUGGGAGCUGCAUUUGAUACGUGUGACUAGAGUGUGAGAGAGGGUUGUGGAAUUCCCAGUGUAGAGGUGAAAUUCGUAGAUAUUGGGAAGAACACCGGUGGCGAAGGCGGCAACCUGGCUCAUGACUGACGCUGAGGCGCGAAAGCGUGGGGAGCAAACAGGAUUAGAUACCCUGGUAGUCCACGCUGUAAACGAUGUGUGCUAGAUGUUGGGUAACUUUGUUAUUCAGUGUCGCAGUUAACGCGUUAAGCACACCGCCUGGGGAGUACGGCCGCAAGGUUGAAAC
rnacentral:rRNA from 1 species